GCUAGGAAGAGGAAGAAAGAGAGGGCGUAAGAGCAGUGGGAAUGAGAACAUAGAGGAAAGCCUAAAUUGAUGGUUCUUCACUUCUUGUCUUGAGGUGGCAAUUCAGUUUGGCAUUUUCCGAUGCCUCUCAUUCCUAUCGUUCUUAGGCACUCCUUCAUCUUCCUUUUUGUU
rnacentral:pre_miRNA from 1 species